rnacentral:piRNA from 1 species
UGUAAGUUUUAGUAAGUUAGGUGUUGAACA